ACAGAAACAUAGCAAAUCUGGUGUGAUUAUGGACCCUAAGCAGGUUCAGGCCUGGUUUGUCCUUGGAUGGGUGACCAUGAGGAAAUAACAAGAAUUUCCAAGUG
rnacentral:rRNA from 1 species